rnacentral:rRNA from 1 species
UACGCAGGGUGCAAGCGUUUGUCCGGAAUUAUUGGGCGUAAAGAGCUCGUAGGCGGUCUGUCGCGUCUGCUGUGAAAACUCAGGGCUUAACCCUGAGCUUGCAGUGGGUACGGGCAGACUAGAGUGCGGUAGGGGAGACUGGAAUUCCUGGUGUAGCGGUGAAAUGCGCAGAUAUCAGGAGGAACACCAAUAGCGAAGGCAGCUCGCUGGGACGUUACUGACACUGAGGCGCGAAAGCGUGGGGAGCGAACAGG